rnacentral:snoRNA from 1 species
CUGCAGCCAAUUAAGCCGACUGUCCUCCUUCGCUGUGGGGGCCAGUGUGCGAUGGCUGCGAACAGCAGCUUCCUUGGUAGUGUAUGUGACCUGUUGGCUUGUAUGGGUUGCCCCAAGGGACCUUGGAGACAGUU